GACAGAGGACGCGAACGUUGUUCGGUGUCACUGGGCUUAGAGCGCACGUAGGCGGCUCAGUUUGUGGGAGGUGAAAGCCCCCGGCUCAACCGGGGAAUUGCCUUCCAGACGGCUGGGCUUGAGGGUCGGAGGGGGAAGCGGAACUCCAUGUGUAGCGGUGAAAUGCGUUGAUAUAUGGGGGAACGCCGGUGGCGAAGGCGACUUCCUGGUCGAUUCCUGACGCUGAGGUGCGAAAGCGUGGGGAGCAAAC
rnacentral:rRNA from 1 species